rnacentral:misc_RNA from 1 species
GAUGAAGAACGCAGCGAAAUGCGAUAAGUAAUGCGAAUUGCAGAAUUUCCGUGAGUCAUCGAAUCUUUGAACGCACAUUGCGCCCGCCAGCAUUCUGGCGGGCAUGCCUGUUCGAGCGUCAUUUCAACCCUCGAGCCCCCCCGGGGGCCUCGGUGUUGGGGGACGGCACACCAGCCGCCCCCGAAAUGCAGUGGCGACCCCGCCGCAGCCUCCCCUGCGUAGUAGCACACACCUCGCACCGGAGCGCGGAGGCGGUCACGCCGUAAAACGCCCAACUUUCUUAGAGUUGACCUCGGAUCAGGUAGGAAUACCCGCUGAACUUAAGCAUAUCAAUAAGCGGAGGA